rnacentral:rRNA from 1 species
AACGCGAAGAACCUUACCUACUCUUGACAUCCUGCGAACCUGAGUGAGAGCUUGGGGUGCCGAAAGGAGCGCAGAGACAGGUGCUGCAUGGCUGUCGUCAGCUCGUGUUGUGAGAUGUUGGGUUAAGUCCCGUAACGAGCGCAACCCUUGCCCUUAGUUGCUAACGAGUAAAGUUGAGCACUCUAAGGGGACUGCUGGUGAUGAACCGGAGGAAGGCGGGGACGACGUCAAGUCAUCAUGGCCUUUAUGAGUAGGGCUACACACGUGCUACAAUGGCGCGUACAGAGGGUAGCGAAACCGCGAGGUGGAGCCAAUCUCUUAAAGCGCGUCGUAGUCCAGAUUGGAGUCUGCAACUCGACUCCAUGAAGUUGGAAUCGCUAGUAAUCGCGGAUCAGCAUUGCCGCGGUGAAUACGUUCCCGGGCCUUGUACACACCGCAUAC